ACUCAUGGUCGUGUACUACAUUGUGCGGGGUAUGCCUCUAAACUUACCAAGGAUCAUGAUGAAUCAUAUAAGGGAGGUAGCUGCAAGGAAAAAGAUAUGUUUGCCCUAUGGUAUGGCCCUUACUAGAGUGUUUAUGGAAAUGGGAGUACCCCUAGAAAAUGAAGCCAAUAAGAACUUAUCACACUUUGAUAUAUAUGAUGAUAGAUCUUUAAACUGUAUCGGUUAUAAGGUGGUUAGAGGAAGAUGGGUAAAGAAAGUAUCUAGACA
rnacentral:lncRNA from 1 species